rnacentral:rRNA from 1 species
UACGUAGGGUGCGAGCGUUGUCCGGAAUUACUGGGCGUAAAGCGCACGUAGGCGGCUUUGCAAGUUAGAGGUGAAAGCCCGGGGCUCAACUCCGGAAUUGCCUUUAAAACUGCAUCGCUAGAAUUGUGGAGAGGUAAGUGGAAUUCCGAGUGUAGAGGUGAAAUUCGUAGAUAUUCGGAAGAACACCAGUGGCGAAGGCGGCUCACUGGUCCAUUACUGACGCUGAGGUGCGAAAGCGUGGGGAGCAAACAGG